UGACAAGAAAGUGACUAAGACACAGGGAAACUGAAAGCUUUACUGUAGGAGAAAAGAGAAUUAUGCUUUUCCUUUGAGUAGAAAUAGGAAUAGCUGGACUAAGACCUGAAGUCUCACAAAUGAUGGGAUGUCAUACACCUUCACGCAGGAUUUUUAAAAAGUAUACUGUAAAAAUACUGUAUCAAAAAAGCAAAUUCAAGGGCAUAUUGCUUUCUGCCUGAAGAAGAGCUAUUCUCUGGCACUGCCAUAACCCGAUCUCCAAAUCAAUGACGUUUAACUGUGGACGUACCUCUGAACCACCUGGGACUUUAAAACCAAAGUGGAGAGGGAAAAGGGUUGAUGGAAAGGGAAGGGUAAGGGA
rnacentral:lncRNA from 1 species